UACGGGGGGAGCAAGCGUUGUUCGGAUUUACUGGGCGUAAAGGGACGCGUAGGCGGUCGUGACAAGUCACUUGUGAAAUCUCCGGGCUUAACUCGGAACGGUCAAGUGAUACUGUCGGACUAGAGUACAGAAGGGGCAACUGGAAUUCUCGGUGUAGCGGUGAAAUGCGUAGAUAUCAGGAGGAACACCGAUGGCGAAGGCAGGUCUCUGGGCAUUAACUGACGCUGAGGAGCGAAAGCAUGGGGAGCGAACAGG
rnacentral:rRNA from 1 species